CCUACGGGUGGCUGCAGUGGGGAAUAUUGGACAAUGGGGGGAACCCUGAUCCAGCCAUGCCGCGUGUGUGAAGAAGGCCCUCGGGUUGUAAAGCACUUUCAGUGAGGAAGAACGCCUGGUGGUUAAUACCCAUCAGGAAAGACAUCACUCACAGAAGAAGCACCGGCUAACUCCGUGCCAGCAGCCGCGGUAAUACGGAGGGUGCGAGCGUUAAUCGGAAUUACUGGGCGUAAAGCGCGCGUAGGUGGCUUGAUAAGCCGGUUGUGAAAGCCCCGGGCUCAACCUGGGAACGGCAUCCGGAACUGUCAAGCUAGAGUGCGGGAGAGGAAGGUAGAAUUCCCGGUGUAGCGGUGAAAUGCGUAGAGAUCGGGAGGAAUACCAGUGGCGAAGGCGGCCUUCUGGACUGACACUGACACUGAGGUGCGAAAGCGUGGGUAGCAAACAGGAUUAGAUACCCGGGUAGUC
rnacentral:rRNA from 1 species